rnacentral:rRNA from 1 species
UACGAAGGGAGCUAGCGUUGUUCGGAAUCACUGGGCGUAAAGCGCACGUAGGCGGAUGUGUCAGUCAGGGGUGAAAUCCCGGAGCUCAACUUCGGAACUGCCUUUGAUACAGCACGUCUUGAGUCCGAUAGAGGUGGGUGGAAUUCCUAGUGUAGAGGUGAAAUUCGUAGAUAUUAGGAAGAACACCGGUGGCGAAGGCGGCCCACUGGAUCGGUACUGACGCUGAGGUGCGAAAAGCGUGGGGAGCAAACAGG